GCGGGGGGGUGGUCGCGGGCUGUGUUUACAGCUGCGCACGCGACGCUUCCGGGUGACGUCGCGGGUCUGGAGUUCGGGGCCGGGGCGGGCUGGGAGCGGGAUCCUGGGCGGGGAGGCGGGGAGAGGUCUGGUACCGUCCCCCCCCCCCCCCCCCCCCCCGUUCCGAACGACCUUGGCCUGGUUCCUCAAGCUCCCUGAGCUCCGGUUUCAUCCGUUGGGCAACUGUUCUUUGGGCCCCUUCUCUUGCCCUGCCCUGGCCCGGCCGGGGUUACUGCGGAGAGCUCACCGAGAAGGGUGGGUGCCUCGGCCAGCCAGGGCAGAAGUAACCUGUCCACUCAGGAAGUCAGGUUUUGGUGUCUCUUAAGCCACCUGGAAUCAUGCAGGCUCUGCCAUUUUUUGCAAAUGCUGAUAGUGUCAGGAGUUUUCUGGUCUUGUUAGAAAUGGCUCCUCCAGGGGCACCUAGGUGUCUCGGUGGGUGAAGUGUCCACCUUCCGCUCAGGCCAUGAUCCCGCCGUCUUGGAUCCAGCCUGCGUUCGGGCUCCCUGCUCAGCCAGAAGCUGGUUUGCCUUCCAUCUGCGAGUCCCCCUGCUUGUGCACUCGCUGUGUCAAAUAAAAUAUUAAAAAAAAAAAAAAAAAAGAAUGGCUCUUCUCUUUAACAAAGCAUCAUAAGCAUGGAUUAGUAUGAGCCCGCUGCUUUGGUGGCCCUGAAAGAGGUACUGUUACACUGGGACAGCAUCAGGGUGUCCUGGAAGGGAAGUGGGUUCUGGAACCAGACAAGGCUGUGUAUGAGUCUUGACCCUGCUGCUUAAUGACUAAUGUUGGAUAAGCUACUGCAGCCCUGAGCCUUGUUUCAUUCGUAGAAGCAGAGGUAGGAGCGUGGAACAAUCCCACAAUCCCAGGACCGGUGAGUGGAUUAAUAGGUGCGCAGUGCUGAGCAUGGGCCUAGCACUCUGUGUACCAUUUCUAGUACUCACCUCUUUGCCUCCAUCUGGACCACUCUAGGGAACCCAAGCCCCAUUUGAUUGAUGAAGAAACAGGCUGGAAUCCAAUCCCCCUUAUGCUCUUGCCAGUGUUCAGAGCCAGUGGAGAAUGGGCACUCACUCCAUAGGCCAUGAGGGUGUUUCUGGCCAGUGAGAGAGGGCACUGUCCUGGCAGGGCCCACUAGGGGAUUUUCUGGUUCAGGGAAACAGGAAGUCCCUUGCCCCUUCCCCCUGCCUUGAUCCAGCAACACUCGGUUACCCGCCCAGGCUUGUCCAGCUCAGAAGGAGCACUCUCAAGCUGGCAGGUUGGCUGGGGUGGGGCAGACGAGGCUGGCAGGAGCAAAGGUUAUUCCUCUGGCCCCCAUGGCACCCCUAGCCUGGUUGUUUUCCCAGGGGCAGCAGGGAAGAAAAAAACAAUCUUGUUUUUAGCCAGGAUCAGCUUGGCUAGAGAGUGGA
rnacentral:lncRNA from 1 species